CCUCCGGCCCCGCCUCCCACCGCGCCGGCGCCAUGGCCGCCCAGGGGAUCUGGACGCUGGCGAGGGUAUCGCUUGGGAGGCCACCGCCUCGGGCCGAAGGUUUCCGACAGCAGCUCAACUCAACCCUCGGUUCGACUUCCGAAGGAGCCCGCGGCGGCUCCGCGGCCGACUCGUGGGGCGUCCGCUCAGAGGGUCCUGCGAGAAACCCGGUCGCACUUUUGCGUUCCGGACAGAGAGGUGUCUGCCCUGAGAUGGGAGGCUCGCGAGGCUCGGUUUUUGAUCUGCGUCCCAGCUAAAGGCUUGUCUCGGUUUGUGUGUGUGCGCGCCCUCCAGCGUGUGAGUGUGUUGUGUGGGGGAAAUGGGUGCUGAGGAACUGAGGGUAGGACUGAGCUCUUACAGGGAACGUAUGUAGUACAGACAUGUUGCCUGUGCGUGAUAACUCGAGCAGCCUGCCAUCCAGUGACUUUAGUAAUGCAAACAUAAGACAGACGCUUUACAUUUUUGCCCCGUGUCCUCUCAUCCUUUGCCUCCAGUCCAAGUGAGCGAAAGAAAUUAUAAUCAGGCAAGUUUGCAUUUUUCCUUAGGCAUUCUUAAAUCACCUUUUCUUCUGGUUUAUGGAUUUGACAAUUGCUUGUCACCACCAAUAUCUAACCUUAUCUCCCUUCAGUUUCCUGACACUUUAGAAUACAAUAGUUUGAAGAUAGCAUUAUUUAUAUUUUAAGUUUUAUAAUGAUGUAAGAGUGACUUGUAAUAAAUCUGUGUAUUAAGCUCUGUGUUUGGCUAGUACUUGAUAAGACCACUUAUUUGGUUUGGCUUGAGACACAGGCAGAGGCAAACCUUGAACGUUUCCUAAAGUUGACACUCAGCCUUGGGAGUAGUAUGUCCCAAAAAUCCACUGUCUAACCCCUUCAUGUGUUGCAAGUGAAUAAAGAUUUAUCG
rnacentral:lncRNA from 1 species